rnacentral:rRNA from 1 species
GACGAACGCUGGCGGCGUGCUUAACACAUGCAAGUCGAACGGAAAGGCCCUGCUUUUGUGGGGUGCUCGAGUGGCGAACGGGUGAGUAACACGUGAGUAACCUGCCCUUGACUUUGGGAUAACUUCAGGAAACUGGGGCUAAUACCGGAUAGGAUCUCCUGCUGCAUGGGGGGGGUUGGAAAGUUUCGGCGGUUGGGGCUGGACUCGCGGCUUAUCAGCUUGUUGGGGGAGUAGUGGCUUACCAAGGCUUUGACGGAUAGCCGGCCUGAGAGGGUGACCGGCCACAUUGGGACUGAGAUACGGCCCAGACUCCUACGGGAGGCAGCAGUGGGGAAUAUUGCACAAUGGGCGGAAGCCUGAUGCAGCAACGCCGCGUGCGGGAUGACGGCCUUCGGGUUGUAAACCGCUUUCGCCUGUGACGAAGCGUGAGUGACGGUAAUGGGUAAAGAAGCACCGGCUAACUACGUG